CAUUAGCACUCGCUAUAUAGUGCAAAAUAUUAUUGGAGAAGGAGGCUACGGCAGGGUGUAUGAGGGAAUCCGUAUUUCUGAUGGCAAAAAGGUUGCCAUCAAACGUAUUCAAAAGACUGUACGGGAUCAUUAUCUUCAAACUACUCUGCAUCCCAAACCUCUCAUUACCGAAGUUGCGCUGAUGCUAACGAUGAGGCAAGGACCCAUAAGCCCCUACGUCAUCCAACUAUAUGAGUGGUUUGAGCACCCUCAAGUAUUUACUCUCGUGAUGGAGAAUCCGGAUCCCUGCGAGAGCUUGUUGGACUUCAUCAACAAGAAUCCUAACAUGAAUGAGACGACAGCACGGCUCAUUAUGUGUCAGGCGGUGCAAGCAGUACAGCACUGCAUUGAGUGCGGUGUUUUUCAUAACGAUAUUCAUCCAGAUAAUAUCCUGUUGAGAAAACACACUUUGGAGAUCAAGUUGAUAGACUUUGGCUGUGGUCAUCUACUUAGUAGUAAUGGCUA